CCCACCUGUCUUUUUCCUAUCUCUUGCACAGAGAUAUUGGAAGUCAAAUAUGAACACUAUGGAUUCACGGCACUGCAGAGCCUCAGCUUUGACUCACUGCCUGAAGACCUUGUUCUCAGCACUCUCCUUGAAUUGUGGAUAUGACUCAGAAUUUAGAAAAUAAUGACUGGAAAAAAACUCUUGAAUCUAAUGAAGUUCUUGUGACAGAACAAAUUUCAGAUUUCAGAUUUGCAAAGGAACCAUUGUUUUGUGGAUGAAAAGACAAAGAAACUGAAGCAAGAAGGUGAAAUAUGUCACCCCAAAUAAAUGAUGGAGUUACUAUUUAAACCUACACCACCGGAUCUUAGCGUCUGGCCCCUUAAUGAAUGUGCUGUAUUUCCCCUUUAAGUAAAAAAGUCAUUUCUAUUCUCUAA